rnacentral:lncRNA from 1 species
GCCGAGGGGCAGCCGGCUCCCGCCGAGAGGGCCGCCCGCCCCCAUCUAACUCUUGCCCCGGGUCCUGUACUCCCACCCCACUCCGUGCGCCCACGUCAUCGAGACCCCGAAGCCUAGGUUUGGGGAGCCGAAGGGGAAGUAGGGGGAGGGGAGGAGGCACCGCGGAGGAACUGGCCUGCGGGCGAUGCGGGGGGAGGGGCCGCUCCGCCCCCGCGCGGGCUCUGGUGCGCGCCCCCGAGGCGCCCCGGGCAGCGUGGGGGCGGGGAGGAGGACGCGGCCACCAGGUCGCCGCGCCCCAGUUGAAAAUACUCCCUAACAGGAAGCUUGCAAAUGGAAACCUGGCGUCCUGCGCCCACUUUCGGAUGGGGCUGCUGCAGCAGCUGGCGGGCGGACCGGCGGUCCUGUAACCUCUGUUGCUCCGGGCUAAGCGCGGCCGGGUCCUGCGGGUCGGGCUGAGUGCCUGCGGACAACUUUAUCCGCUCAGACUCCAGCCGCGGCGGAGCGGGCAGCCAAGGUGCGCUUCGGGCUGCGCGGUGGACAGUCAUCCCCUCGGAGGUGACUGUUUGCCGUUCCAGGGGACGGGGCUCGCCCUCUCCCUGGGCCAGGGUGCCUGAUGCAAGAUGGCUGUAUUUUGUAAGCCUCUAAAACAAUGUAUGGAAUACAACGUUAACUGUACAGGGCCUGUCCUGGGAGUUUGUCCUACCAGCCAGAGUGGGCCUUGUAACCGUCUCAGUAUUUGGUAGGAUUACUUCGGAAAGAGGCUUGCCAAAUAUAAUAGCGUAGUCCAGUGUUGUCAGCUUCAGCAUAGUUUGCAAGGGGCUGAAAACGGCAGAAAUAAGGGAAACAUGGUUUACGAAUUAUGUUUAACCAUUUUCCAAUUCUCGGUAGCCUGCAGAACAGACUUCAUGGCUCAAGCUACCCUCAUUAACUGGCGGUUGAUUGGCUAACAAACAGCUGAACCUUCCUAGAUAUUGACAACGCUCUACAACUGUCUGUGCACGUUUUCCGUAGAAGUGUCAUGAAGACAUCCCAUAGGAUGGUGAAGGAGACAAAUUUCACAGAUAAAGGACACUACUAUCUGUAAUCUGAAGACCUCAAAAGCAUCUUAGUCAUAAACAUUAUCCUGAAACAGAUAAAUGGAAAUCAGAUAUGAGGGAAGGAAUGGAUUGGUCCAAGGUCACUUAAGUGAGGAACAGACCUAGGAGAAACAAAAUAAUCCAAGCUUGUUUCAUUAUUAUUUAAUGAAUGUUAAGUGUCCAUGGUUGCUAUACAGAACACAUAAAAUCUGCGAUCCUAUCUUAAAAGCACAUGCAAAAAAUCCUCAGCUUAGCUGCCAGCGAAGAAUUCCUACAGUUUAACCCAAGGGAAAGAGGUUUUUUUGUUUUUCUUUUUUGUUUUGUUUUCAGGAAACCAAAAUAUUUGUUGCUGGAUUUAUACAGGAAGGCUGUUGUACAUCAGUUAAAUUCAUAUUGUCAAGAAAUGUUAAAAUGACAGGGGUAAUGUUCUCUUUGUAUGCUAUAUUUUCCCAUAAGUUUC